AACUAACCAGGUAUUCCCUCAGUAACGGCGAGUGAAGAGGGAAAAGCCCAGCACCGAAGCCUGUAGUUGUUUGACUGCAAGGCAAUGUGGUGUUUAGGUCGUUUCGCAGAGGUACCGCUUUACCCCAAGUCCAGCAAUGAGUAUGGUAAGUCGGACUAGGCCCAAAGAGGGUGAAAGGCCCGUGGGGGUAAAGGACAAAUGAGCCGGUAUUUCUCUGGGUCGACCUUGGAGUCGGGUUGUUUGUGAAUGCAGCCCAAAGUGGGUGGUAAACUCCAUCCAAGGCUAAAUACGUACACGAGUCCGACAGCAAACAAGUACCGUGAGGGAAAGUUGAAAAGUACUUUGAAGAGAGAGUAAACAGUGCGUGAAACCGCUCAAAGGUAAGCGGGUAGAGUUGAACUGCAAGCCCUGAGAAUUCAGCCAGUGAGCGUGAUUUGGACCUGGACAUAUUGGUCGACUGUCAGAGUUUACCAGAUUGGUAAGUCCGGCAACUUGUUGUCGGGUGUGCGUUUCGCUUGUCAUGAGUUACACACUCUGUUCAGUUUGCAGGCCUGUUUGCUGGUGCACUUUCUCAGGGUCAACACCACGACCAGCGUGUCUGCUCGUCUACUGUGGUUAAACCGUUCAGUCAAGGUUCAUGUAACUUUGGUUGAACGGGAUGGCAGGUAGCUUGUUGACUUGCAUUGAUUUCGAUCAGUGUGUCUUAGUCUUCAAGUGUUAUAGCUGACCAUAGUAGUUUUGUAUACGGUGCGACAUGUUGGAGGCUGCGGCUUGUAGUGUGUGCAUGCGUGUCAUGGAUUCCAACUGACAUUGUCUGAGCCUGAUCAUUGUGUUCGCUUGUCAACGCAAGCCUUGUGGUGGCUCGGAUAUGUUCGGUAGGCGACUGCGUGUGUGACAUGUGACAGGGCCUAUAGUCUGUGGUGUGGUGGUAGACGAUCUACCCGACCCGUCUUGAAACACGGACCAAGGAGUUUAACAUGUGCGCGAGUCAUUGGGCGUUACGAAACCCAAAGGCGCAGUGAAAGUGAAGGUCCGACAUUGUCGUCUGGACUGAGGUGAGAUCCUGUCGUUUUGUUGUGCGUGGUACCGCCAGGCUUACGAGCGAUAGGCGCAUCACCUGCCCGUCUCAUGGUGUGGUCAUACUAUUGCGGUAGCAUGCGUCACCGGGGCGGAGCUUGAGCGUACAUGUUGAGACCCGAAAGAUGGUGAACUAUGCUUGCGCAGGUUGAAGCCAGAGGAAACUCUGGUGGAGGACCGUAAGCGAUUCUGACGUGCAAAUCGAUCGUCUGACGUGAGUAUAGGGGCGAAAGACUAAU
rnacentral:rRNA from 1 species